UGCCGUUGUGGCGGAAUUGGCAGACGCGCUGGACUCAAAAUCCAGUUCCUUCACGGGAGUGUGGGUUCGACCCCCACCGACGGCAUC
rnacentral:tRNA from 2 species